AGCGAACGCUUGCGGCAGGCUUAACACAUGCAAGUCGAGCGGGCCCUUCGGGGUCAGCGGCAGACGGGUGAGUAACGCGUGGGAACGUGCCCUUCGGUUCGGAAUAACCCUGGGAAACUAGGGCUAAUACCGGAUACGCCCCUUGGGGGAAAGGUUUCGUGCCGAAGGAUCGGCCCGCGUCGGAAUAGCUUGUUGGGGAGGGAACGGCUCACCAAGGUGACGAUCAGUAGACGGUAGGAGCGGAUGAUCAGCCACACUGGGACUGAGACACCGCCCAGGACCAGCCGGGAGGCAGCGGUGGGGAAUAUUCGAGAAUGGGCGCAAGCCUGAGCCAGCCGGGCCGCGUGAGUGAUGAGGGCCUUAGGGUUGUAAAGCUCUUUCGCACGCGACGAUGAUGACGGUAGCGUGAGAAGAAGCCCCGGCUAACUUCGUGCCAGCCGCCGCAGUAAGAC
rnacentral:rRNA from 1 species